UACGGGGGGAGCAAGCGUUGUUCGGAUUUACUGGGCGUAAAGGGCGCGUAGGCGGUCGUGACAAGUCACUUGUGAAAUCUCCGGGCUUAACCCGGAGACGCCAUCCGAUACUGCUGUGACUUGAGUCUGGUAGGGGAACACGGAAUACCUGGUGUAGCGGUGAAAUGCGCAGAUAUCAGGUGGAACACCGAUGGCGAAGGCAGUGUUCUGGGCCAGUACUGACGCUGAGGAGCGAAAGCGUGGGGAGCAAACAGG
rnacentral:rRNA from 1 species